rnacentral:rRNA from 1 species
GAUGAACGCUAGCUACAGGCUUAACACAUGCAAGUCGAGGGGCAGCAUUAGGUAGCAAUACUGAGAUGGCGACCGGCGCACGGGUGCGUAACGCGUAUCUAACCUUCCCGUUACUCUCGGAUAGCCUUCCGAAAGGGAGAUUAAUACGAGAUGGUGUUUGAAUUCCGCAUGUUAUUCAAACUAAAGAUUCAUCGGUAACGGAUGGGGAUGCGUGACAUUAGGUAGAUGGCGGGGUAACGGCCCACCAUGCCUACGAUGUCUAGGGGUUCUGAGAGGAUGAACGGCCACAUUGGGACUGAGAUACGGCCCAGACUCCUACGGGAGGCAGCAGUGGGGAAUAUUGGGCAAUGGGGGAAACCCUGACCCAGCAACGCCGCGUGAAGGAGAAGGCCUGGUUGUAACGUUCUUUACCUAGGGACGAAGGAACGUAGACGGUACC